rnacentral:rRNA from 1 species
GGCUGCAAUCGUCUCAUUAUCAAUUCAGAUAAUAUGGAAGUCAUUGACACAAUGAAGAACGGUGGAGAGUCUGCGGGAGCAGCGGCGGCAAUGAUUUUUUUUAUGGCCUGUGAUUUUCCACAAACCAGUUUUGAACAUUGUAAUAGAGAAGCGAACAAAGUAGCUCAUGAGCUUGCUAGAUUAGCAAAAUGUUCCACGACUAGGGAUUGGAUAGAGGAGCCCAUGGAAACUCUUGUAACUCUUCUGAUAGACGAUGUAACCAUUAUCUCUAAUUAA